rnacentral:tRNA from 1 species
GAAAUUUUAGUUAAUAUUCAUAACUUUAUCUUGUCAAGGUAAAAUAGCUGUUUUAGCAAAUUUCU